AUUGAACGCUGGCGGCAUGCCUAACACAUGCAAGUCGAACGGUAACAGGCCGAGAGAUCCUUCGGGUGAUCUUGGUGCUGACGAGUGGCGAACGGGUGAGUAACGCGUAGGAAUCUGCCC
rnacentral:rRNA from 1 species